UCCCAGCUAACUUAGAGGUGGAUUGAUAGUGACAAUAACCAUCUUUUCCAAUCCCCAGGUAUGGAGAAAUCCAGAAGGAUGGAUCUGUUUGGGAAAUGACAUCUGGAGAUAACAGAAUACGUUUCAUCUCACAUACAUGAGGGACAUGGAGCCCUCUACCUUUUAGAGCCUGGGUAGCAGGAACAUUCUGACAAAAUCCCCAUUUAGCAUGAGAGAGAAGCGAUGCCCUGAAACAUUGACAAUGUGCCCAUCUAGCAUCAGAAAUGACUGAGAGAUGGAUACAACUAAAGCUCGCUUCACCCAAAAUAUAUGUUGAUGUGAAGAAAUUGACUUCAAACUUUGAAGCCAGCAGAGACUUCAGGAAAUCAAAGGGAGUACAUAGGAUUAUCCACUGGCCAAAGCUCAAGCAUCAGACUUCCUUGUCCCCAGCCCUUGAUGCAGUAGAUCUGAAUAUAUCUGUGACUGUAAUUUCACCUGCCUCCAGUGUGGAGCUGAGAAGGGAUCCCCGAUUUCAGGACGCUGUUCCAUCAGGCCUGCAUCUCUGGGAUUUGCCCAGAUACUUAAUGGCCUCCUGAAAACUUUGUUAACAACAGCAGAUGGUUUUUCAAGGUCUUCUUCUCAGACGUAAAUUUCUAAAAAAAAAAAAAUAGAGGUGGAGACUGUGUUU